rnacentral:rRNA from 1 species
CGGACGGGUGAGUAACACGUGGAUAACCUACCUAUAAGACUGGGAUAACUUCGGGAAACCGGAGCUAAUACCGGAUAACAUGUUGAACCGCAUGGUUCAACAGUGAAAGACGGUCUUGCUGUCACUUAUGGAUGGAUCCGCGCCGCAUUAGCUAGUUGGUAAGGUAACGGCUUACCAAGGCAACGAUGCGUAGCCGACCUGAGAGGGUGAUCGGCCACACUGGAACUGAGACACGGUCCAG